UGGCUAAGUCAGCCAGGUGUGAAAGCCCCGGGCUCAACCUGGGAACGGCAUCUGGAACUGCUUGGCUAGAGUGCAGGAGAGGAAGGUAGAAUUCCCGGUGUAGCGGUGAAAUGCGUAGAGAUCGGGAGGAAUACCAGUGGCGAAGGCGGCCUUCUGGACUGACACUGACACUGAGGUGCGAAAGCGUGGGUAGCAAACAGGAUUAGAUACCCUGGUAGUCCACGCCGUAAACGAUGUCAACUAGCCGUUGGGUCCCUUGAGGACUUAGUGGCGCAGCUAACGCAAUAAGUUGACCGCCUGGGGAGUACGGCCGCAAGGUUAAAACUCAAAUGAAUUGACGGGGGCCCGCACAAGCGGUGGAGCAUGUGGUUUAAUUCGAUGCAACGCGAAGAACCUUACCUACCCUUGACAUCCAGAGGACUUUCCAGAGAUGGAUUGGUGCCUUCGGGAACUCUGAGACAGGUGCUGCAUGGCUGUCGUCAGCUCGUGUUGUGAAAUGUUGGGUUAAGUCCCGUAACGAGCGCAACCCCUAUCCUUAUUUGCCAGCGAGUAAUGUCGGGAACUCUAAGGAGACUGCCGGUGACAAACCGGAGGAAGGUGGGGACGACGUCAAGUCAUCAUGGCCCUUACGGGUAGGGCUACACACGUGCUACAAUGGCAAGUACAAAGGGUUGCAAUACGGCGACGUGGAGCCAAUCCCAUAAAGCUUGCCUCAGUCCGGAUUGGAGUCUGCAACUCGACUCCAUGAAGUCGGAAUCGCUAGUAAUCGUGGAUCAGAAUGCCACGGUGAAUACGUUCCCGGGCCUUGUACACACCGCCCGUCACACCAUGGGAGUGGACUGCACCAGAAGUGGUUAGCCUAACCUUCGGGAGGGCGAUCA
rnacentral:rRNA from 1 species